GUACGGGAGGCAGCAGUGGGGAAUUUUGCGCAAUGGGCGAAAGCCUGACGCAGCAACGCCGCGUGCGGGAUGAAGGCCUUAGGGUUGUAAACCGCUUUCAGCAGGGACGAAAUUGACGGUACCUGCAGAAGAAGCCCCGGCUAAAUACGUGCCAGCAGCCGCGGUAAUACGUAUGGGGCAAGCGUUAUCCGGAUUCAUUGGGCGUAAAGAGCGCGUAGGCGGCUUGUUAAGUCAGAUGUGAAACCUGUGGGCUCAACCCGCAGCCUGCAUCUGAAACUGGCAGGCUUGAGUCUGGUAGAGGAAAGUGGAAUUCCCAGUGUAGCGGUGAAAUGCGCAGAUAUUGGGAGGAACACCAGUGGCGAAGGCGGCUUUCUGGGCCACGACUGACGCUGAGGCGCGAAAGCUAGGGGAGCAAACAGGAUUAGAUACCCCGGUAGU
rnacentral:rRNA from 1 species